GAUGAACGCUGGCGGCGUGCCUAAUACAUGCAAGUCGAGCGAACGGACGAGAAGCUUGCUUCUCUGAUGUUAGCGGCGGACGGGUGAGUAACACGUGGAUAACCUACCUAUAAGACUGGGAUAACUUCGGGAAACCGGAGCUAAUACCGGAUAAUAUUUUGAACCGCAUGGUUCAAAAGUGAAAGACGGUCUUGCUGUCACUUAUAGAUGGAUCCGCGCUGCAUUAGCUAGUUGGUAAGGUAACGGCUUACCAAGGCAACGAUGCAUAGCCGACCUGAGAGGGUGAUAGGCGACACUGGAACUGAGACACGGUCCAGACUCCUACGGGAGGCAGCAGUAGGGAAUCUUCCGCAAUGGGCGAAAGCCUGACGGAGCAACGCCGCGUGAGUGAUGAAGGUGUUCGGAUCGUAAAACUCUGUUAUUAGGGAAGAACAUAUGUGUAAGUAACUGUGCACAUCUUGACGGUACCUAAUCAGAAAGCCACGGCUAACUACGUG
rnacentral:rRNA from 1 species